rnacentral:rRNA from 1 species
CGGCAGCGGGGGUAGCUUGCUACCUGCCGGCGAGUGGCGAACGGGUGAGUAAUACAUCGGAACGUGCCCUGUAGUGGGGGAUAACUAGUCGAAAGACUAGCUAAUACCGCAUACGACCUGAGGGUGAAAGUGGGGGACCGCAAGGCCUCAUGCUAUAGGAGCGGCCGAUGUCUGAUUAGCUAGUUGGUGGGGUAAAGGCCCACCAAGGCGACGAUCAGUAGCUGGUCUGAGAGGACGAUCAGCCACACUGGGACUGAGACACGGCCCAGACUCCUACGGGAGGCAGCAGUGGGGAAUUUUGGACAAUGGGGGCAACCCUGAUCCAGCAAUGCCGCGUGUGUGAAGAAGGCCUUCGGUUGUAAAGCACUUUUGUCCGGAAAGAAAUCGCUUCGGUUAAUACCUGGGUGGAUGACGGUACCGGAAGAAUAAGGACCGGCUAACUACGUGCCAGCAGCCGCGGUAAUACGUAGGGUCCAAGCGUUAAUCGGAAUUACUGGGCGUAAACGUGCGCAGGCGGUUGUGCAAGACCGAUGUGAAAUCCCCGGGCUUAACCUGGGAAUUGCAUUGGUGACUGCACAGCUAGAGUGUGUCAGAGGGAGGUAGAAUUCCACGUGUAGCAGUGAAAUGCGUAGAGAUGUGGAGGAAUACCGAUGGCGAAGGCAGCCUCCUGGGAUAACACUGACGCUCAUGCACGAAAGCGUGGGAGCAAACAGGAUUAGAUACCCUGGUAGUCCACGCCCUAAACGAUGUCAACUAGUUGUUGGGGAUUCAUUUCCUUAGUAACGUAGCUAACGCGUGAAGUUGACCGCCUGGGGAGUACGGUCGCAAGAUUAAAACUCAAAGGAAUUGACGGGGACCCGCACAAGCGGUGGAUGAUGUGGAUUAAUUCGAUGCAACGCGAAAAACCUUACCUACCCUUGACAUGCCACUAACGAAGCAGAGAGCAUUAGGUGCUCGAAAGAGAAAGUGGACACAGGUGCUGCAUGGCUGUCGUCAGCUCGUGUCGUGAGAUGUUGGGUUAAGUCCCGCAACGAGCGCAACCCUUGUCUCUAGUUGCUACGAAAGGGCACUCUAGAGAGACUGCCGGUGACAAACCGGAGGAAGGUGGGGAUGACGUCAAGUCCUCAUGGCCCUUAUGGGUAGGGCUUCACACUCAUACAAUGGUGCAUACAGAGGGUUGCCAAGCCGCGAGGUGGAGCUAAUCCCAGAAAAUGCAUCGUAGUCCGGAUCGUAGUCUGCAACUCGACUACGUGAGCUGGAAUCGCUAGUAAUCGCGGAUCAGCAUGCCGCGGUGAAUACGUCCCGGGUCUUGUACACACCGCCCGUCACACCAUGGGAGUGGGUUUUGCCAGAAGUAGUUAGCCUAACCGCAAGGGGGGCGAUACACGCAGUACCCU